UACGGGGGGGGGCAAGCGUUGUUCGGAAUUACUGGGCGUAAAGGGCUCGUAGGCGGCCAACUAAGUCAGACGUGAAAUCCCUCGGCUUAACCGGGGAACUGCGUCUGAUACUGGUUGGCUUGAAUCCGGGAGAGGGAUGUGGAAUUCCAGGUGUAGCGGUGAAAUGCGUAGAUAUCUGGAGGAAUACCGGUGGCGAAGGCGGCAUCCUGGACCGGCAUUGACGCUGAUGAGCGAAAGCUAGGGGAGCAAACGGG
rnacentral:rRNA from 1 species